AUGGAGGGCUAUUCAGGUUCCAGCAAUUCCUCGCCUUCAGAGCCUAUUGCUAAAGUCAAUGCGAAGCAGAAUUGGGCAGCCUCACCGUCCAAAUUCAUUUAUCAUUUCGCCACUAGUGGAAUCUCCGUGGCGGCUGCUACAGGCGUCACACAUCCUUUAGACGUACUCAAAGUUCGGCUGCAAAUGCAACUUGUGGGCCAGAAGGGUCCUUUGACUGGAAUGGGACGUUUAUUUGUUCAACUAUUCAAAAAUGAAGGGCCAAAAGCUUUGUAUUUGGGAUUGACACCUGCAUUAACAAGGUCAGUUCUUUAUGGAGGUCUCCGUUUAGGGCUGUAUGAACCCUCAAAGCAUGCCUGUGCUUUGUGUUUUGGGUCCACCAAUAUACUGGUCAAGAUUGCAUCAGGUGCAUUUGCCGGUGCAAUUGCAACUGCACUGACCAAUCCUGUUGAAGUUCUGAAGGUUCGGUUGCAGGUGAAUACAAACCCUAGCCCAAGCCAAGGAGGACCAAUUGCAGAAAUGCGUAGAAUUGUUUCUGAAGAGGGAAUAAGAGCUCUCUGGAAGGGGGUUGGCCCUGCUAUGGCCAGAGCUGCUGCUUUGACUGCAUCACAACUGGCAACGUAUGAUGAAACCAAGCGGGUUCUUAUUAGGUGGACACCUCUGGAAGAAGGAUUUCAUCUACACUUGGUCUCAAGUACAGUAGCAGGGACAGUGAGUACCCUUAUAACUGCACCCAUGGAUAUGAUUAAAACCCGCCUCAUGCUGCAACGGGAAUCUAAAAGAGUUCAAAGCUAUAAAAAUGGAUUUCAUUGUGCAUAUCAGGAAGAGAAGAGGUAGAAAGAGGGAGAGGUUGCAGCCAACAAUAAUGAACAACUGGAGUUGGACAAGAUAAUUUUGUGCUUUCUUUUACCUAUAUUGAGUUGAAAUGAAUGCUUUCAUCUGAUGAGUAUUUGAAUAAUUUAUGUCCAGUGGGAAAUGGAAUUUCUCCAUUCUUUAUGUUCUUCAUGCUUUUACUGCGGACCUUACAACUUAAGAGUCCUGCAGUUGGGGCUUCUCACACAUCAGAUGUCCAAAUUACAUGUCUCUUUAUUUAUUGCUUGGGCUUUAUGGACACUUUACUAGUUAUGAAAUUCUAUGAUUAAGAGGAUAAAAAUUGCUAAGAAUUUGUAUGUCAGAUUGUCAUUUGUUUUCCUUUUGAUUUCUCCCUUUUAUGAGUGUUUGUGUGAAGUAUUUGUGAUAUGUGGAUGAGGCUAUGUAGAAGUGUCUGUAUGCGUAAAUGAAUUAAUAAAAAGUGCUUUCUUGUCUAAUUCUUUUUUUUUUUUUUUAAUUUCUGGUUUCAGGUUAUGCUUACAGAAGGCCCUAGUGCACUUUACAAGGGGGGCUUUGCAAUUUUUGCAAGAUUGGGUCCUCAAACUACAAUCACAUUUAUACUAUGUGAGAAACUGCGCAAGCUUGCCGGAUUGAAUGCCAUCUAGCAGCGGAUUUGUCCAUUUAUAAUCACUCACAAAUCACAAUAAUAUACUGAUGAGCUUUUUUUUUUUUUUUUUUAAGUGUCAAAAAGCUGCCCUCCUUGCCAGCAAGCACAGAAUGAGGGAAUAUAUUAGCCUAUUAGGUCAUUCUUAUCGUAGAAGGCCAUUUGAGUGCCAAUAUAGGAUUGGGAAACUGGGCUUAUGUAGGAUCUGGUGAGAAUGGUCAAGACUUCAUCAAUUGUCAUGGAAGGAGUCCAUUUAUUUUAUUGAAUUGUGGUAUAAUCAUUUUUGCUUUAUCCCCAAUUUUUCUCAGUGUCAACCAUGUAUUACUGCCAAGCAGAAAUGCAGAAUGUAUUCUUGUCAUAUUUACACAUUCUUGUACCUUUUUUUUUGGAUGAUUGUCAAAUGGGGAUCUUGAAUAUAUUUGGUUUUUCUGCAAAUAUCAGCAACCUUUCUUUUUUCUUCA